rnacentral:tRNA from 1 species
GCGGGUGUAGCUCAAUUGGUUAGAGCGCUAGAUUGUGAUUCUAGAGGUUGCGGGUUCAAUUCCCGUCACUCGCCCCA